ACCGACUGCCACCGGAACAGUCACUAGUCAGAAACAAGCCUGGAAACAACCGGAGUCGUCCACAGAUAAACCGAGCUUCAUCAUCAUCAUCGCAGUCUCAAACUCGAAACAAUGGACGUUCCAAUAAUGAAAAUAUGAACAGACCUGUGCAGCCUCGUCAUCAUAAUCAAGCACGGCAGUCUCAAACUCGAAACAAUGGACGUUCCAAUAAUGAAAAUAUGAACAGACCUGUGCAGCCUCGUCAUCAUAAUCAAGCACGGCAGUCUCAAACUCGAAACAAUGGACGUUCCAAUAAUGAAAAUAUGAGCAGACCUGUGCAGCCUCGUCAUCAUAAUCAAGCACAGCAGAUUUGGAGGCCCAAAUCAUCUUGAUUAAAGUAAAUUUUGUAACAAAUUGCAAUAGUACUUUUUU
rnacentral:lncRNA from 1 species